rnacentral:rRNA from 1 species
GUGCCAGCCGCCGCGGUAAUACGUAGGUGGCAAGCGUUAUCCGGAUUUACUGGGCGUAAAGAGUGCGUAGGCGGUUCUUCAAGUCGGAUGUGAAAUCUCCCGGCUUAACCGGGAGGGGUCAUUCGAAACUGUUGGACUAGAGGACAGCAGGGGGAGGUGGAAUUCCCGGUGUAGUGGUGAAAUGCGUAGAUAUCGGGAGGAACACCAGUGGCGAAGGCGGCCUCCUGGGCUGUUUCUGACGCUGAGGCUCGAAAGUGUGGGGAGCGAACAGGAUUAGAUACCCUGGUAGUCCACACUGUAAACAAUGGACACUAGGUAUGGGGAGUAUCGACCCUUUCUGUGCCGAAGCUAACGCUUUAAGUGUCCCGCCUGGGGACUACGGCCGCAAGGCUAAAACUCAAAUGAAUUGACGGGG